rnacentral:piRNA from 1 species
UAAUAAUGGAUGUGGUUGCUGGG